rnacentral:sRNA from 1 species
GGACGGCGGGAAAAACAGUGCAAAAGCAGGCGUUAAGCUCGCUUAUAAGACUGUUUUUGCACUGUUUUUCACAUCGGAUGGACAUCCGAAGCUUCUUGAACGGCUUUUUCGGUCAAGAAGAUAAGCCGUCC